rnacentral:sRNA from 1 species
AUGUUGAAUUUGGAAAUUCGAGGGGACGCUGGUGGACGGAUUGGGUGCAAGGAGUUGGUGUUGAUGGAGGAGCAGGACGCCAGAGUCCCAGCCCUGGAACCAUUCAGAGUGGAGCAGGUUGUCAGAACUCAGGGUGCAGAGGGUGAAGGAGGCAGGCUGAUUCCUGAGUUCUUGGGUUGGGACUGCCCCCUUCCACCAAAUUCAUUCUUACUGUCAGAGUCCAUUCUGGAAUGGCACUGGUCCCUUGACUUCAGACCCUGACCUGUCUGAGGACAUCCUGAGCCUGUCUUCAGGCAUAGGGGUUGCUCUGUGAUGAUAUGUCCUCUGUGUGGGUUGAAGGACCACACCUUCAGGGGGUCUUUCUAUCCUAGGCACCACCUGUAAUCUACUAUGUCCCUGACUUCAUCUCCAAAGAAGAGGAGGAGUAUUUGCUUCGACAGGUGACCUCAGUGCCCUUCUGGUCUGUUUUCCCACUCUUCCCAUAUUCCUCCCCAAUGCCUAUCCUCUGUAUGAGAGCCCCCAAGGCUGCAGUGAAGACCCCGACAGAAGGAACAAGGAAGUUACAGAGCUCAUACUCCCUCUACUGAGAUAGCCCAAUCCUGCUAGCUUAGAGAAUAGGGGGUUAUAAACAUAGGCUGAGAUAGCCCAGUUCAGAUCAUUGAGACUGGGGAGUAAAGAAUUUUGUAUUCAGAUUUCUGUGCUGAGAUAGCCCAGUAAACUCUUUCCUGUGCUAAAAUAGCUCAGCAUAGACCCAGAGCCUUAGGAAUAAGGUUACCAAAUACAGACCAUCUAUGCUGAGAUGGCCCAGUCUGCAUUCUGUUCUUAAGGUUUGGGGGAAGAAGAAUUUUCAAAGCUCAGAGUUCCUGCCCUUUGCAGCCCCAGUGCCUAAGUUACAGAGCACAGAUCUUCCCUGUGUUGGAGUAACCCACUGAUCUUGAGUCCAGGAAAAAAUUAGCUACAGAACACAGACUUUUUUGCUGAGAUAGCCCAUUCCAGACCUUUGCGUUCUUGGCAUUGAAAAAUCUAUAUAUUAUAGAAUUCCUCGGCUGAAAUAGCCCAGUACAGCUCCAUAACCAUGAAGGGAAUGAGUAGAUUAUCAACUAGAGCAUAGACUUGUUGGACUGAGAUAGCCCAUUCUAGAUCAUUAGGAUCUUGGCAGUGGAAGAUUUUCAAAGUACUUUCUUUGCUGUGCUGAGAUAGCCCAGCUUUGCAUACUCCCUCCCCCAGGCAAUAGGAACAAGGAGGUUGCAGAACUCAAACUGUCCUCAGAGAGCCCAGGAAUCAGGAAUUUUUGUUUGUUUGUUUUUUGAGACAAUCUUGCUCUGUCACCCAGGCUGGACUGCAGUGGCGUGAUCUCGGUUCACUGUAGCCUCUGCCUCCUGGGUUCAACUGAUUCUUGUGUCUCAGUCUCCUGAGUAGCUUGGAUUGCAGGCGUGUGCCACCACACUGCCUCCCAGGUUCAAGCGAUUCUCCUGCCUUAGCCUCCCAAGUAGCUGGGAUUACAGGUGCAUGCCACCAUGACCAGCUAAGUUUUGUAUUUUUAGUAGAGACGGGGUUUCCCCAUGUUGGCCAGGCUGGUCUCGAACUCCUGACCUCAAGUGAUCUGCCCGCCUCGGCCUCCCAAAGUGCUGGGAUUACAGGCAUGAGGGACCGGGUUUGGCACGGAAUCAGGAAAUUAGAAUGCAGACUAUUUGCUGGGCUGAAAGAGCCCUGUCCAGCCCCAGAACUGAGUAGACUGUGAGACCCACAACUCUCAGACCACGGUUGUGCAGCCCUGAUUCCUAAAUCCUGGUAGACACGGGUGGGCUUUGGGGCCAAAGGCGUUCCCAGGAAAAAAGGCAAACCACAAAAUCCUAGGAACCCACCGCCCCAGGGAAUGGUCCCACAGACACAGAUGACCCAUUUCCACCCCGGAGGUAAAGGCCCCUAUGUUGGCCUAGGUGGGAGGAUCAUAGAGGGGUGAUCAUGAGAAAGGAGUGACCCCCUUCCCACCUCUUAGGUUUUUAAUGCCCCAAAGCCAAAGUGGACCCAGCUCUCUGGGAGAAAGUUACAGAACUGGGGUAAGUAUCCCUGGCUGGGGGCAUGAGUGAUUCUGGGAUGUAGGCUGGGGCAGGGGACUCAGGUCCAAUAGACUUAAGACAUCAGAGGGUCCCUGACAGCUCAAGGGGCCCCAAGAGCCAGGAGGAUUCUGAAGGGGUCAGUGGAGGUCCUGAGGGAUUAGGGAUUUCCUGAUGAGUUGGGAGUAUCUGAAAGGGGCCCGUGGUCUGGAGAAGUGAGGAAACCUCUGAAGGACCCAGUGGCUAUCUCCAAAGGGUCAGGGGUCCCUGAGGGGAUCAGGGUGCUUCCAGCCACUGUGGAAUCCCUAGUGGGGGAUCUAUUGCUAUAGGGGAGCCCUCAGGACCCCAUUGCCUUCCCCAGGUGGGCUUCCUCAUCCCCGGGGGAUGGUUCCUGAGCGGCUGCCCCCAUGGCUCCAGCGCUACGUGGACAAAGUGUCAGACCUCAGCCUCUUUGGAGGCCUCCCAGCUAACCAUGUCCUCGUGAACCAGUAUCUGCCUGGGGAGGGCAUCAUGGUAACCACACACCCUCGGCCAGUGUCCCCCCACUCAGACUUCUGAGCUGUGCUGGGGCAGGGGACCCUGUGCCCACCCUCACUCAUUAGGCAGCCACAUCUCCCAAACAGGCAUUCACCUCCCUGUCCCUGGCUUGGGAAGCCCCACUUUGACCCAGAGGGUGGGGGUUGUGGACUCCUGCCCUGCCCAGCCCUGGUGCCCACUCCUCAGCCCCACGAGGACGGACCACUGUACUACCCGACUGUCAGCACCAUCAGCCUGGGCUCCCACACCGUGCUAGACUUCUACGAGCCACGGCGGCCAGAGGACGAUGACCCUACAGAACAGCCUCGGCCUCCGCCCCGGCCCACCACCUCGCUACUGCUGGAACCGCGCAGCCUGCUGGUGCUCCGCGGCACCGCCUACACGCGCUUCCUCCACGGCAUCGCCGCCGCCCGCGUAGACGCGCUGGACACCGCCUCCCCGCCGCCCAAUGCGGCAGCCUGCCCGUCGGCGCGGCCGGGAGCCUGCCUGGUGCGCGGCACCCGGGUCUCACUGACCAUCCGCCGCGUGCCCCGCGUGCUGCGCGCCGGCCUCCUGCUGGGCAAGUGACCGCCAGGGCCGGGACCCCUCGGAUUCCCAGGUUCCUGCCCCCUUGGGGCUGCUGUGACUCUGCGACCUAGGAACCGUGGGCAGAGGGGGCUCCCCUGGGUUAUUUAUUUUCCCAAUAAUUUUGUGUGAGCUACAGAAGACCCCAUACCAAAUAAACAAAAAAUCUU